AAAUUGAAGAGUUUGAUCAUGGCUCAGAUUGAACGCUGGCGGCAGGCCUAACACAUGCAAGUCGAACGGUAACAGGAAGCAGCUUGCUGCUUUGCUGACGAGUGGCGGACGGGUGAGUAAUGUCUGGGAAACUGCCUGAUGGAGGGGGAUAACUACUGGAAACGGUGGCUAAUACCGCAUAACGUCGCAAGACCAAAGAGGGGGACCUUCGGGCCUCUUGCCAUCAGAUGUGCCCAGAUGGGAUUAGCUUGUUGGUGAGGUAACGGCUCACCAAGGCGACGAUCCCUAGCUGGUCUGAGAGGAUGACCAGCCACACUGGAACUGAGACACGGUCCAGACUCCUACGGGAGGCAGCAGUGGGGAAUAUUGCACAAUGGGCGCAAGCCUGAUGCAGCCAUGCCGCGUGUAUGAAGAAGGCCUUCGGGUUGUAAAGUACUUUCAGCGGGGAGGAAGGUGUUGCGGUUAAUAACCGCAGCAAUUGACGUUACCCGCAGAAGAAGCACCGGCUAACUCCGUGCCAGCAGCCGCGGUAAUACGGAGGGUGCAAGCGUUAAUCGGAAUUACUGGGCGUAAAGCGCACGCAGGCGGUCUGUCAAGUCGGAUGUGAAAUCCCCGGGCUCAACCUGGGAACUGCAUUCGAAACUGGCAGGCUUGAGUCUUGUAGAGGGGGGUAGAAUUCCAGGUGUAGCGGUGAAAUGCGUAGAGAUCUGGAGGAAUACCGGUGGCGAAGGCGGCCCCCUGGACAAAGACUGACGCUCAGGUGCGAAAGCGUGGGGAGCAAACAGGAUUAGAUACCCUGGUAGUCCACGCCGUAAACGAUGUCUACUUGGAGGUUGUGCCCUUGAGGCGUGGCUUCCGGAGCUAACGCGUUAAGUAGACCGCCUGGGGAGUACGGCCGCAAGGUUAAAACUCAAAUGAAUUGACGGGGGCCCGCACAAGCGGUGGAGCAUGUGGUUUAAUUCGAUGCAACGCGAAGAACCUUACCUGGUCUUGACAUCCACGGAAGUUUUCAGAGAUGAGAAUGUGCCUUCGGGAACCGUGAGACAGGUGCUGCAUGGCUGUCGUCAGCUCGUGUUGUGAAAUGUUGGGUUAAGUCCCGCAACGAGCGCAACCCUUAUCCUUUGUUGCCAGCGGUCCGGCCGGGAACUCAAAGGAGACUGCCAGUGAUAAACUGGAGGAAGGUGGGGAUGACGUCAAGUCAUCAUGGCCCUUACGACCAGGGCUACACACGUGCUACAAUGGCGCAUACAAAGAGAAGCGACCUCGCGAGAGCAAGCGGACCUCAUAAAGUGCGUCGUAGUCCGGAUUGGAGUCUGCAACUCGACUCCAUGAAGUCGGAAUCGCUAGUAAUCGUGGAUCAGAAUGCCACGGUGAAUACGUUCCCGGGCCUUGUACACACCGCCCGUCACACCAUGGGAGUGGGUUGCAAAAGAAGUAGGUAGCUUAACCUUCGGGAGGGCGCUUACCACUUUGUGAUUCAUGACUGGGGUGAAGUCGUAACAAGGUAACCGUAGGGGAACCUGCGGUUGGAUCACCUCCUUA
rnacentral:rRNA from 1 species